GUUCCGUAGUGUAGUGAUUAUCACGUGCGCUUCACACGCGCAAGGUCCCCGGUUCGAUCCCGGGCGGAAACA
rnacentral:tRNA from 1 species